ACCACGCUCGGGACCGCCCAUGCGCGGAAGCGCCCCAGGGCCUGGCCCCCGAGUGGCCCGCCCUACUCCAGGCCCCGCCCGUGGCUCCGCCCCCCGGGCCAGAGGCUUGGGGGACGCUCGGCGCUCCCGGCGCUCCCCGGUACCCCGACGCUCCGCGGCCCGCUGGCGUGUUCCAGGCGGCACGCUCCGUGGGAGUCCGCAGCCAGGGCCUGCUGUUCCCAGGGGACGCACUAGCUUUUGAGCAAGCUCCACUGAUCACCCGCACGCCUCUGCUUCACCCUCCCACACACCCUCCUGUGCACAGCCCAGAACUUAGAUGCCGUCGGACUGUGGGUAGAGGCUUCCCCCGGGCUCCAUACCGGCUUCCCCGCAGAAGGCUGUCUGCGCCUGCGCACUUGGAAGGCAGGCUAGCGGGCUGGGCCCUUUCGCGAACACGACUUUACUGCGCCUGCGUGGGGCUGAGCAGGAAGUACUAGAGCUCCGCCGCUUCGGGCUGUGGCCUGGCUUUUGUUUAGGCCUCUCUACGCUGAUUUAUUUCUUCGGCCCUCGCAGAACAGGAUGUCAGAGCAUAGACCUUUACCUGGAAUCUCCUCUUCCUCAACAGAUGUGGACUUUCCCUUGGCCACUCAAGAGAUGAAAUUCAAACCGUUUUUAAAUUCAGAGUCCUUGACCUUUAUAGCCUGGCCCCAUCCAAGCUUUUCAAGAUUGUCUCACACUGGAACGCUGGUAGCGGCUCUGUAAAGACUCUCCUGCCUCUGUUGAUCUAAGACCUAAAGCUGAAAAGUAAUGGGGAGAAGUGGGCCUCGCUCUUUUCAGAUGGAUCCCCAAGGCUUUCAAAGGACCAUCAGGAGGAAGAGGAUGAGACAAGCUUUCCGUAAGACCCAUUCUCCAAACCCACCCCACCAGGGAGAAGAGCUGCAUGAUACUUUGACACACAAUUGUGAGACUCCCACAGCUUUCUGAGAAGGCCUGUAUCAGCUGAAUGUGACAGACCAAAGGCCACAGGGAUGACUCCAAAUGAAGCGGCCAGGCUCUAGGGAACAGGACCCCUCGUGGAGCCCUGUCUCCAGCUUCUUCUCUUACCUGCACUGCCCAGAUUCUAGCUCACCCACAGCCUUGAUCCAGGCCUGGCCAUGAUCUUUGUGCUCUGGGGAAGCUGAGGCACGACGGGCUUGCUGAAGACCAACAGAGACCCGUAUUCAUUUCUGAUGGUUGGCUAGCUCAGUCCACAACCUCCAGGACUGCCUUUCUAAGUACUGUGGCAUGUGGGGUAACCCCAAAGUACUCAACACCGUCGGUCCAAAGCCAACCUCAUCAUCUCACCUCAAAAACCUGGUUCUUCCUCCUCCAGUGUCCGCUCGCCACCCAUCUUCCCCACCACCCGAACUAGAAACCUUGAAAUCAUCAUCAACAUCUUCCUUUCUCUCACUCCCCACUGUCCACUAACAUGACACACAUUCACCAAGCACCCACCCUGUGCAGGCUCCACUCUGGCCAUAGAGGCUAUGGCCGGGAGUAAGCAAAGCUCCUGCUCCCCCAGAAGUGGACAUCCUAGCUACACGGGGCAGGGACACAACCAUAUACAAUGAUAGGAAUGCUGAGGAAGAGACACAGGGUGACAUAACAGAACCUGAAGUGAGGCUGGAGAGCUGAGUUUAGAUGUGGCCAUGGGAAGCUCAUCAUGUAAAGAUCUGGGCCAAAGCAUUCCAAAUAAAGUCAAGAGCUGGAGCACA